GGAGAGGUGUCCGAGUGGCUGAAGGAGCAUGAUUGGAAAUCAUGUGUACGGCUACAGCUGUACCGAGGGUUCAAAUCCCUCUCUCUCCG
rnacentral:tRNA from 1 species